UUCCUACGGGGGGCAGCAGUGGGGGAUAUUGCACAAUGGGGGAAACCCUGAUGCAGCGACGCCGCGUGUGGGAAGACGGUCCUCUGGAUUGUAAACCACUGUCCCCAGGGACGAAGAUGACGGUACCUGGGGAGGAAGCUCCGGCUAACUACGUGCCAGCAGCCGCGGUAAUACGUAGGGAGCGAGCGUUGUCCGGAAUUACUGGGUGUAAAGGGUGCGCAGGCGGUCCUGCAAGUCUGGAGUGAAACGCAUGAGCUCAACUCAUGCAUGGCUUUGGAAACUGGAGGACUGGAGAGCAGGAGAGG
rnacentral:rRNA from 1 species